rnacentral:tRNA from 1 species
GCCGGGGUCUCCUAGUCGCUAUGGAGGCGGUCUCGAAAACCGCUGUGUACGCACGCGAGAGUUCAAGUCUCUUCCCCGGCGCCA